AUCACUUUCACGUCUCAAACUCCACUGCAAACAGUACAUCCAUAUGCUGAUAUGCACGCUAUUUUUCUGAUAUGGUCUAAAGACUACGAGGAAAGAAAUGAUUUUAGACAUUGUUUGGACUACAUCUUUGCAUAUGUGAGAAUCGGAGCAUUUGGUGUGUAUAGUUAGCCAGCUAAUCUAUUACUACUCUAUUAAGAGUGUAAGGAGGGCGUCCACAGCCCUGGUGCCCCCGCCUGCCCCCGCUCCUGCGAACUUUGCUCCUGCGAUCCCGAGCCUCGACAGACGCCAUUACAGGACGACCGCAUCUUCCCUUUCCAUUGACACCACAUCCAUGCGUUGCGCCCCCAACUGCCCUUCCAUUGGUGCUCGCAUCUCCCCUUCCAUCCACACGCCGCGCCUCCAUCCAUGCCCCCACCCAGCUUGGAAACUCUGCAAAUCCAUGCCCAAAAUCUUCGGCCAUCGUCGCCCCCCGUGCCUCGCUCCCCUUCCAUUCGCCGUGAAUGUCGCCCUCAUCCAACCACCGGUGCAUCAGCCAGAUCCAUUCCAUCCAACCAGAUCUCGGCGAUAGUAGAGGACCAAAUGGUGGUGAAGGCGAUUCAUGAGGAGUGCCCCUGAGAGUCGCUCCCCAAUCGCCAUCGAUUUCGGCUGCCACCACGCCAUCGACCCUGGCCGCCCCCGCUCCCCCACGCAACAGUCGUCGCUAUCCCCUCCCUAUUCGUCAUCCGCGAUGCUCGCCGCCCCUGCUCCCCCACGCUGACUACACGCACCCUGCCAUCCUCGCCCUCCUCCGCGCACCGAAGGACGCUCGCCAUGCUCGCCUCCCUCCCCUCUGGCCAUUCCCUCACGCGCACUCGAAAAAAAGUCUAGCCCCCAAACUCCCCAGCGGGGGCGAGCCUGGGAGGAAGAGCCGUCGCCGCCAUGUAUGGCAGAACCAUCCGUGACCGCCUCGCUCCCCUUCAGCCCUUCCGUCGCGCGCGCUUGGAAAAAAGUCCAGCCCCAAACUCCCCAGCGGGGGUGAGCCUGGGAGGAAGAGUUGCCGCCUCCAUGUAUGGCAGAAUCGCCCACGACCGCCUCGCACUGUUUCGUUGCGAAGCCGCCUGACAGGACAAUGAACCUGAUGAUCUGGCACUACACCAUCCCCAGCAAGUAAGGGGAAGCAUCAUAGUCAUGGGAGGAGGGGAAGCGACGAAGGCGCGAGAGGGAUGGUAAACAUGGCCAGAUUCUGUACAUUAUUUAUGGAAUUAUGGUAGAUUUACGAGUCAUGCACUUUUGGUAGAUUCUGGCAACUCUUCUUCAAUAGAAAGAUUUUUUAUUGUUCACACCUUCCGUUUUGGACAUCGUCUUCAGCACAUGUCUUUGACUUUUUCCCUAAACAUUUGCUACUAAAACUUGCUGAAGAGAU